GACGAACGCUGGCGGCGUGCUUAACACAUGCAAGUCGAACGGAAAGGCCUUUUCGGAGGUACUCGAGUGGCGAACGGGUGAGUAACACGUGGGUGAUCUGCCCUGCACUCUGGGAUAAGCCUGGGAAACUGGGUCUAAUACCGGAUAGGACCGCACUUUAGUGUGUGUGGUGGAAAGUUUUUUCGGUGUAGGAUGAGCCCGCGGCCUAUCAGCUUGUUGGUGGGGUAAUGGCCUACCAAGGCGGCGACGGGUAGCCGGACUGAGAGGUUGGUCGGCCACAUUGGGACUGAGAUACGGCCCAGACUCCUACGGGAGGCAGCAGUGGGGAAUAUUGCACAAUGGGCGCAAGCCUGAUGCAGCGACGCCGCGUGGGGGAUGACGGCCUUCGGGUUGUAAACUCCUUUCGCCAGGGGCGAAGCGUUUUGUGACGGUACCUGGAGAAGAAGCACCGGCUAACUACGUG
rnacentral:rRNA from 1 species